rnacentral:rRNA from 1 species
GACGAACGCUGGCGGCGUGCUUAACACAUGCAAGUCGAACGGAAAGGCCCUGCUUUUGUGGGGUGCUCGAGUGGCGAACGGGUGAGUAACACGUGAGUAACCUGCCCUUGACUUUGGGAUAACUUCAGGAAACUGGGGCUAAUACCGGAUAGGAGCUCCUGCUGCAUGGUGGGGGUUGGAAAGUUUCGGCGGUUGGGGAUGGACUCGCGGCUUAUCAGCUUGUUGGUGGGGUAGUGGCUUACCAAGGCUUUGACGGGUAGCCGGCCUGAGAGGGUGACCGGCAGGCUGGGGGCGGGGAGAGGGCCAGGGGGCGGAGGGAAGGGAGGGGGGGGCAAGGGGCGACGAGUGGCGGGAGCGCGGGGCGGCAGCGCGGGGUGGGGGAUGACGGCCUGUGGGUGGUGACUGGGCCUCUCCGGGGGAGGGGAGUGGGUGAGGGAAAGGGGAAAAGAACGAUCGGCAAACGCCGUGCCAGCAGCCGCGGUAAUACGCGGAAGAGCCCCCGUGUGACC